GUAUAACACUAUUUUCCGCAUGGAAGAAAGUUGAAAGGCGCUUUUGCGUCACUGAUGGAUGGACCCGCGGUGCAUUAGCUAGUUGGUGAGGUAACGGCUCACCAAGGCCACGAUGCAUAGCCGACCUGAGAGGGUGAUCGGCCACACUGGGACUGAGACACGGCCCAGACUCCUACGGGAGGCAGCAGUAGGGAAUCUUCGGCAAUGGACGAAAGUCUGACCGAGCAACGCCGCGUGAGUGAAGAAGGUUUUCGGAUCGUAAAACUCUGUUGUUAGAGAAGAACAAGGAUGAGAGUAAAAUGUUCAUCCCUUGACGGUAACUAACCAGAAAGCCACGGCUAACUACGUGCCAGCAGCCGCGGUAAUACGUAGGUGGCAAGCGUUGUCCGGAUUUAUUGGGCGUAAAGCGAGCGCAGGCGGUUUCUUAAGUCUGAUGUGAAAGCCCCCGGCUCAACCGGGGAGGGUCAUUGGAAACUGGGAGACUUGAGUGCAGAAGAGGAGAGUGGAAUUCCAUGUGUAGCGGUGAAAUGCGUAGAUAUAUGGAGGAACACCAGUGGCGAAGGCGGCUCUCUGGUCUGUAACUGACGCUGAGGCUCGAAAGCGUGGGGAGCGAACAGGAUUAGAUACCCUGGUAGUCCACGCCGUAAACGAUGAGUGCUAAGUG
rnacentral:rRNA from 1 species